GAUGAACGCUGGCGGCGUGCCUAAUACAUGCCAGUCGAGCGAACAGAUAAGGAGCUUGCUCCUUUGAAGUUAGCGGCGGACGGGUGAGUAACACGUGGGUAACCUACCUAUAAGACUGGGAUAACUUCGGGAAACCGGAGCUAAUACCGGAUAACAUUUAGAACCGCAUGGUUCUAAAGUGAAAGAUGGCUUUGCUAUCACUUAUAGAUGGACCCGCGCCGUAUUAGCUAGUUGGUAAGGUAACGGCUUACCAAGGCGACUAUACGUAGCCGACCUGAGAGGGUGAUCGGCCACACUGGAAGUGAGACACGGUCCAGACUCCUACGGGAGGCAGCAGUAGGGAAUCUUCCGCAAUGGGCGAAAGCCUGACGGGGCAACGCCGCGUGAGUGAUGAAGGGUUUCGGCUCGUAAAACUCUGUUAUUAGGGAAGAACAAAUGUGUAAGUAACUGUGCACAUCUUGACGGUACCUAAUCAGAAAGCCACGGCUAACUACGUG
rnacentral:rRNA from 1 species